UUUAGGUAAACUCAAAAUUUUCUAUUAUUGAAAGUUGAUUUUGAUUUUCGAAAAGAUUAAAAUUUCGGAUCAACUUUUAAGAAGAUUGAAGUUUGAAUUCAAGUUGAGAAAUAAGAUCUUCGGAUAUUAAAAAAUUUGGAACCUUUAAAUUUGAAAACAAUUUUGCAAGUUCCAAUCAUACUCUUUGUAGGACUUGUUGGGACCGCCGCACUAGUAUGAUAUUGUCUGCUUUGAAUUGGGAUCGCGUGUAACUCUGUACUAGUAUGAUAUUGUCCGCUUUGGGCUAAUUCCUCACGAAUUUAUUUUUAGACACCUCUCAAAAAGCCUCAUACUAGUGAAGUUGGUUGACAGUUUAAAUAUUAGAUAUGUUCCCUCUAUUUUUUCCGAUACGAGAUUGUGUUUGUCUCUUAAUAGGACUGCCUGUACGAAUAUUUUAUUUAGAUGAUCAUGGUAAAAUGAAGAAUUAUUAAAAUUUUGUAAGAUAAGCUUGCCAAUAAUUUAACAGAGCAUGAUGCUUCUAACAAGAGUUACUUUUUGCUUUGUAAUGCCACUUAGUCAAUAUAUAUAAUAUAUAUCCUAUUUACCAAAAAAAGAAAAAAAAGUAUCAAUAAAUUGUUAUCCAUUAAUGACCAAGAAAUUGUUUAGAAAAAUGAUCUCAUAUCGCAACUUAAAUAAAAGAAAAUAAUCCUUAAAAACUUU
rnacentral:lncRNA from 1 species